rnacentral:rRNA from 1 species
GAUGAACGCUGGCGGCGUGCCUAAUACAUGCAAGUCGAGCGAACAGACGAGGAGCUUGCUCCUUUGACGUUAGCGGCGGACGGGUGAGUAACACGUAGGUAACCUACCUAUAAGACUGGGAUAACUUCGGGAAACCGGAGCUAAUACCGGAUAAUAUUUCGAACCGCAUGGUUCGAUAGUGAAAGAUGGCUUUGCUAUCACUUAUAGAUGGACCUGCGCCGUAUUAGCUAGUUGGUAAGGUAACGGCUACCAAGGCAACGAUACGUAGCCGACCUGAGAGGGUGAUCGGCCACACUGGAACUGAGACACGGUCCAGACUCCUACGGGAGGCAGCAGUAGGGAAUCUUCCGCAAUGGGCGAAAGCCUGACGGAGCAACGCCGCGUGAGUGAUGAAGGUCUUCGGAUCGUAAAACUCUGUUAUUAGGGAAGAACAAACGUGUAAGUAACUGUGCACGUCUUGACGGUACCUAAUCAGAAAGCCACGGCUAACUACGUG